GACGAACGCUGGCGGCGUGCUUAACACAUGCAAGUCGAACGGAAAGGCCCUGCUUUUGUGGGGUGCUCGAGUGGCGAACGGGUGAGUAACACGUGAGUAACCUGCCCUUUACUUUGGGAUAACUUCAGGAAACUGGGGCUCAUACCGGAUAGGAGCUCCUGCUGCAUGGUGGGGGUUGGAAAGUUUCGGCGGUUGGGGAUGGACUCGCGGCUUAUCAGCUUGUUGGUGGGGUAGUGGCUUACCAAGGCUUUGACGGGUAGCCGGCCUGAGAGGGUGACCGGCCACAUUGGGACUGAGAUACGGCCCAGACUCCUACGGGAGGCAGCAGUGGGGAAUAUUGCACAAUGGGCGGAAGCCUGAUGCAGCAACGCCGCGUGCGGGAUGACGGCCUUCGGGUUGUAAACCGCUUUCGCCUGUGACGAAGCGUGAGUGACGGUAAUGGGUAAAGAAGCACCGGCUAACUACGUG
rnacentral:rRNA from 1 species